GAUUAAGAACGCAGCGAAAUGCGAUAAGUAAUGUGAAUUGCAGAAUUCAGUGAAUCAUCGAAUCUUUGAACGCACAUUGCGCCCCCUGGUAUUCCGGGGGGCAUGCCUGUUCGAGCGUCAUUUCACCACUCAAGCCUCGCUUGGUAUUGGGCAACGCGGUCCGCCGCGUGCCUCAAAUCGACCGGCUGGGUCUUCUGUCCCCUAAGCGUUGUGGAAACUAUUCGCUAAAGGGUGUUCGGGAGGCUACGCCGUAAAACAACCCCAUUUCUAAGGUUGACCUCGGAUCAGGUAGGGAUACCCGCUGAACUUAAGCAUAUCAAUAAGCGGAGGA
rnacentral:misc_RNA from 1 species